rnacentral:rRNA from 1 species
AAAAUUGGCGGUAUUUAAAUCUAAUGAGCGGAACUUGAUGUGUAAAUGAUAGGCCGCGGCAACCUUACUUUAUUUUUAAAUUUAUUUAUUGUCGUUAUCAGAUUAUUUUAAAAGAAUUUAAAUUUUCUUAAUUAUUAAUAAGUAUUUAUUUCAGAUCUUUAUGUAGUUUAUAGUAAAGUAAAAAUGAGUUACAAUAAUUUUUAUUUAUAUGGAUAUUAAAAUGAAAUUUUUAAUUUAAAGUGGACUUAAUAGUAAUUAUAAAUAUUAUAUUAUUA